CAAAUUCAGUGCAGUUGCUUCGCUUUCGUUACAAAAGCUUGCAGUGAGUCAGCGGACGGUCGGACCACGUGGACUCAACCAUGUUUGAUCAGACCAACGGAUGGUCCUUUGUACGUGGUUUAAGCUGCGCCGUAAUAAGACACGCUUACUUGUAGGCAUGCAGGGACUGCAGAUAAGCAUACGACAGCUUGCUUUGCAAACAAAGGAAAAGCAGAAUGUUCCAGACGCCUUGAUGCCCCUGCAAAGGAAAAAAAUGCCUUGAUGCCCCUGCGAACAAAGGAAAAAGAUGCCUUGAUGCCCCAGCGAGCAAACGAAAGCACCAUGAAAGCGGUUCAAGCAAGGGCAGUGGCGAAAACUGAUUGGUCCAGAACUCCAGCCUCUUACACAAUCUUGAGUGUAUAAAAGGCCGGGCAGGGAAAGGAAGGGUGCUUUUUUUUGCAGCUGCGCUGUAAUAAGACCCUCUUACUUGUAGGCAUACAGGGACUGCAGAUAAGCCCGGACGUCUGUAUUAGGUAUUGUUGUCAGGAAUAAACAAUCUGGUUCUCAUUCUAUGAUUUGGUUCUUUAAGAUUCUUUUAUCUUCUAUUGGAAACCCACUUAGAGUCCCCACUUAGGGGGAGGAUUUCUACAGUAGCCACAACACUUUCUGGCUAGGCGGCCUUGGUGACCUCAUCUCCUGAAAGGCACGCUCCAAAGCAAAGAUGCAAGCUCGCGUUGGUCGCACGGGCAGGGCACGGAGAUGCAGCACAGACCGGGACGGAGCUCCGAGACCGUCUUCCUGAGGCCGUGGACGUGUGACGGGAUGAUUUAGGGAGUGAUAGAUGACACCUUCGGGAGUAGAAUGUGUGACGGCGGCAGUAAAUCACUGCAGUGAUGAGCUGCAAACAUGUGUUUGUGUUUGUAAAUAAAAUACUUCGAUUGC